UCAUUUAUUUGCUUUUCUUUCUUGUUUAUUAGAACUCAUGGGCCAACACUGAUCAUCAACCAAUCAGUAUAAAUACAAAGAACAAACAGAACAUUCACAGCACUGCAAGCAUUUUGAUGCUCAAAAGGCCUUUUGGUGACCUGUGCCCCGGACCCUCGUGUCUGUGCUACCCGAGCUGCCCCCUAAAAUGAGGCGACUCUAAGAAACCUCAAGCCGCUAAUUUCUGGAAGCAGGUGAUCCUCCUGACGUAUCAUCACCUAACGUGUCACACUACACCUGCAUCACUCACUUCGCUUCAUCUCCUCACGGAGGCGUUUUAUCAUCUCAUAUCAUCUCAAGAAGCAUGAAUACAACAUAAUAAGACGAAGAAACUGGACUUUGAGAGGAUAACACCUUGCCGAAGUCACAAGUUAUGAGUGACAAAGCCUGAACCUGAACCCAGGUCCAGUCAGCAGCCUGCGCCUCCACCCUCUUGUUAUCCUGCUGCCACCCUCAGACAUACAUGUCAUCCACGAAGGUGGCCACCAAGGCAGUUAGCCUGAACACAAGCUCUGGGAAGCCAAAGGCUUAAACGGUUCACUCCAAAGCAGGAAAUGUGAAGAAACUUCCAUUUGGAGGACAAGGACUGUUGUGUCCACUGAAUGUCUAUUCUGUGCACCCUGGUGCUUAGAAAGGGAAGCUAACAAAACAUGGCUUCUGUAUCAAAACGUGUCAACAUGUGACUACUUCAUCUGUGACACUGGGCAAAUGAGAGUUUUGCCUCUUGAGUCUGUAUUUAGUAUAAUUUCUUUAGGGUUAAUAACCUACGAUGGACCCUUUUUUGCCUAAACUGUUAAAGUGAGUUCUGUGAGAAAAUCCAUUUCUGCUAUGUAUGCCAUUAAGUCAUUAUGGUUUAAGCCAUUCUGUUA